AUGAAUAUUUGGGUUCCCUUCUUUCUCUAGCUUCAGCUUCUGGAUCUUCUGGUGUAAUUAUAGGACUGAGUUUGGCCUUCGUGUUUGUCAUCUUAAUGAUCGUACUGAUCCUGCUGCUGCACUUCAAGAAGAAAAAAGGUGUGGAAUAUCAGACUCCUUCUACAGUAAAUCAGGACACCAAUCAGCCUGCAGAUGGUGAUAACAUCUACGAAAAUGCUGAUAUCAGGACCACAGAUGAUUCUGCAGCUGGAACCAGCAAUAUGAUCCACUCACAGGAUGUCCACAGAAACAAGACACAAAAUGAUGCUGCUGCUGGACUGAGUGAUGUGACUUAUGCUGAUAUUGAACUGAAAAACCAAAAGAAACCAAAGAGAAAACAAGGAAAGAGCAGUGAGGGAGCUGACACUGUUUAUUCAGAACUGAAGCAGAACACAGAUAAAGAUGCUGCUGCUGGACCAAGUGAUGUGACUUAUGCUAAAAUUGAACUGAAAAACCAAAAGAAGCCAAAGAGAAAACAAGGUGGGACUAAAUUCUUUCAAUUUAUGUAUGGCCACUGUUUUAGAUUUUAUUUUACCUUUACACCCUUUAAUUAUUUGUCAGUUAUUCAACCUAAAGCAUCGUAUUCAGUAACUGCUACGAAUCAUUCAGUAACUAAAAUGAAAAUAAUGGAAGGUAAUAGAGGUAAGUGUAAUGUAGUUAUGGAAGUUUAAGGGGUUAAUAGAAUGUGUGUUUUAUCUUAGCGGAUGCUAAAUCAGUGACUGUUUCCCAUUAGGAAAGAGCAGUGAGGGAGCUGACACUGUUUACUCAGAACUGAAGCAGAACACAGGUCCAUGAAGAAAGUCUAGAGUCUCCAAUCAAGAAUUGUUGAAACAGCUGAAGAACAUAUUUACAUAUUUAUACACAUAUUUUAGGGGGCACAUUGUAGUGUCUGGAAAGCUUGUUUUUUGCUUAAUACAAAACUAAGCAUUGUACCAACUCCUGAUAUGAAUGUUAAAGGAGGAACAGGGAGCAAUUUUAAAAUUAUAUUUCCUUUUGUUCACAG